CGCAUCUGUGCAUGCAGCAUAUCAAUAAGCGGAGGAAAAGAAACUAACAAGGAUUCCCCUAGUAACGGCGAGUGAAGCGGGAAGAGCUCAAAUUUGAAAUCUUAAAGGGUUUCCCUUUACGAAUUGUAGUUUAAAGAAGUGUUUUCUGUUGAGGUUUUGGUAAAAGUUCUUUGGAAUAGGACAUCAUAGAGGGUGAGAAUCCCGUAUUUGACCUUUACUUUCAACUUUGUGAUACACUUUCAAAGAGUCGGAUUGUUUGGGAAUGCAGUCCAAAAUGGGUGGUAAAUUUCAUCUAAAGCUAAAUAUUGGCGAGAGACCGAUAGCGAACAAGUACCGUGAGGGAAAGAUGAAAAGAACUUUGAAAAGAGAGUUAAACAGUACGUGAAAUUGUCAAAAGGGAAGCGUUUGACACCAGUGUUGUUUUUCUGAAAAUCAAUUAAAGAACUGUUUAUGCUAAGUUGUUUAGACUUUAUCAGCUAACUGUUUAGUUUUGAGCUUUUCUUUAAUGCACUUUUCAGUUAACAAGUCAACAUCAAUUUCUUUUGCUGUAAAAAAGCUUGAGGAAGGUGACUUGAGAUUCGUCUUAAGUGUUUAUAGCCUCUUGCCUAUGCAGUCGGAGAGAUUGAGGUCUGCAGCGUAGAUCCUUCGGGGCUAAAUGCAUUUGUGCUAAGUUAUAGCAUUUUAUAGACAACUUGUUGACUAUGAUUUGUCUUGUAGCUUACUCGCUUAUGUUAUUUUACCUACGCUUAGGAUGUUGACGAGACUGUCGAUCUC
rnacentral:rRNA from 1 species